rnacentral:rRNA from 1 species
AUGAACGCUAGCGGCAGGCUUAACACAUGCAAGUCGAGGGGUAGAAGCAGCUUGCUGCUUUGAGACCGGCGCACGGGUGCGUAACGCGUAUGCAAUCUACCUUUUGCAGAGGGAUAGCCCAGAGAAAUUUGGAUUAAUACCUCAUAGUAUACAGACUCGGCAUCGAGAUUGUAUUAAAGUCACAACGGCAAAAGAUGAGCAUGCGUCCCAUUAGCUAGUUGGUAAGGUAACGGCUUACCAAGGCAACGAUGGGUAGGGGUCCUGAGAGGGAGAUCCCCCACACUGGUACUGAGACACGGACCAGACUCCUACGGGAGGCAGCAGUGAGGAAUAUUGGACAAUGGGCGCAAGCCUGAUCCAGCCAUGCCGCGUGCAGGAUGACGGUCCUAUGGAUUGUAAACUGCUUUUAUACGAGAAGAAACACUCCUACGUGUAGGAGCUUGACGGUAUCGUAAGAAUAAGGAUCGGCUAACUCCGUG